GAGAAGUGCAGUAUAGAUUGCCAAUGUUUGAAGCUUCUUCAGUCGGCCAAGACUAGAUGGAAGAAAGCCGGAGAUGCUUGUUUCAGCUAAACCAAGAAUCACCAAACUACUGCAAUUACCAAUUUCUUCCGGCACAGAACCAUGUAUCGACCCUUCGAGUAGAUUUGAAUUGAGGUAAAGCUGUUCAAGAUCUACCAAAUUGCAUAUUUCACUUGGAAUUUCUCCCGUUAAGCCAUUGUCACUGAGUUCCAAGGUACGCAACUGGGUAAGAGCACUGAUCUCUUUAGGAAUUGAACCAGUGAGAUUCACUCCAGACAAGACAAGCCUGUUCAAGGAUGACAAUGGAGAGAAAUUCAAUGGAAGCUUUCCUGGUAAGUUCACGUAUCUCAAUACUACUUCCACUACUUCUCUAUUUCUAUUGCAAGUGAUUCCAAACCACCCACAUGGAUUUUCAUUGUUGGGGUUCCAAUUAUAUAGAGCCUCGUUUGAUCCAUUAAAACUUAGCUUCCAAUUGAGUAGAGCUUGACCCUGUUCAUUAAUGGCGGAAACUCCAAAAGGGAAGAAAAGAUAUGAGACUGAAAAACAAAGGAUUAGGAUAGAUGAGGGGAGGGUCCAUGAAUUUACAGGCAUUAACAUUACAACUAAACUACAAACUCCAAUGAAAGGAGAAACAAGAAAGUGGGUUUAAGCCUAGGGAGUGCCAAAAACAAGAGAAGCCAAAUCAUGUCUUGCGGUCUACGAUGUCUUAAAUUAGGUACCCUAUAAACUAUUAAAGCAAAAAACAAUUCAAAAUGCCUGAAAUCCUGGGAUCCAAGAAGAACAGCUAGGCCAUGAUGGUUGUGCAGAGGGAAAAUGGAAUUUUUGGUUGGCGUUUCCUUUGUAAUUUUUUAUUCAUAAAGAUGAGAGGUGGGAGGAAGGUGGAAAACUGUGUAUUUUAUUUCAAAGAACUACAAAAAAGAGAGAGAAAGAGAGAUAUAAGGAGAAAGAGAAGGGCACAAAUCACAAUGAAAGCUAAGUGAUUUUGCAUACUUAACAAUGUUCCUUUGAGAAAACUUUUUACCAACAGUUAUUCGAGUGAGUGUGAUGAAUUAAAGGCCAGAUAUUAGAAAAAAA